AGUGGCGAACGGGUGAGUAAUGCAUCGGAACGUGCCCAGUCGUGGGGGAUAACGCAGCGAAAGCUGUGCUAAUACCGCAUACGAUCUAUGGAUGAAAGCGGGGGACCGUAAGGCCUCGCGCGAUUGGAGCGGCCGAUGUCAGAUUAGGUAGUUGGUGGGGUAAAGGCUCACCAAGCCAACGAUCUGUAGCUGGUCUGAGAGGACGACCAGCCACACUGGGACUGAGACACGGCCCAGACUCCUACGGGAGGCAGCAGUGGGGAAUUUUGGACAAUGGGCGCAAGCCUGAUCCAGCAAUGCCGCGUGCAGGAAGAAGGCCUUCGGGUUGUAAACUGCUUUUGUACGGAACGAAACGGUCUGGGUUAAUACCCUGGGCUAAUGACGGUACCGUAAGAAUAAGCACCGGCUAACUACGUGCCAGCAGCCGCGGUAAUACGUAGGGUGCAAGCGUUAAUCGGAAUUACUGGGCGUAAAGCGUGCGCAGGCGGUGAUGUAAGACAGAGGUGAAAUCCCCGGGCUCAACCUGGGAACUGCCUUUGUGACUGCAUCGCUAGAGUACGGUAGAGGGGGGUGGAAUUCCGCGUGUAGCAGUGAAAUGCGUAGAUAUGCGGAGGAACACCGAUGGCGAAGGCAGCCCCCUGGACCUGUACUGACGCUCAUGCACGAAAGCAUGGGGAGCAAACAGGAUUAGAUACCCUGG
rnacentral:rRNA from 1 species